GUAAGUUCAAAAAUGGCGCAUGGUUUCAAACAAAUCAAUCAACCAAAAUGGGCAGCAACCAUCACAUAGGAGCCAAAGUAAUUUGCAAAAUAUUGUUUCAUCGGCUAAUUUCUUUUCAAACUUCACAUGGAUCUCAUUCUCAAGAGACCAGUAGUUAUUCACAUGGACUUUUCGCAAGUCAGCUUCAACAAAUUGCUAAUGCUUUGUCUAAGAUGACUCAAAAUUGUGCUACGGGACUUGCAGGACUUGGCUACGGGGAAGAUGAUUGGCUCGGGUGAGAAGCGUGGUGGUAUUUAUUAUAUGUCUCCAUUGCAAAAGAUACCCUCUUCUCAUCAAGUUUCUCAACCGGAAAACUUAUGGCAUAUGCGCCUUGGGCAUCCAUCACCAUCUCGUCUUAAAUUAAUCUCUUCAUUAUUGUCUUCUCAUAAUAUCUCUUUUAAUAAUAAUUGUGUCAUUUGUCCUAUGGCUAAAUAGACUAGACUUCCAUUUUCUUCAAGUUUAAUAUCAAGUCAUAAUCCAUUUGAUUUAUUGCAUUGUGAUAUUUGGGGUCCCCACAGGGCAUCUACACAUACAAGGGAACGUUUCUUUCUUACUGUUGUGGAUGAUUUUACAAGAUGCACCUAGGUAUUUCUUAUAAAAAGAAAAUCAUAUACCCAAGAUCUAAUAAAUUCUUUUAUUGCCUUAGCUCGUACUCAGUUUCAUGCCUCAGUUAAAACCAUAAGGGUAGAUAAUGGUGGAGAAUUGUAUCCAUGAGAAGUUUCUUUCAGUCUCAAGGCAUUUGUCAAUGGAUUUGUGUUUCAACUCCUCAACAAAAUGAAGUAGUUGAACGCAAGCAUCGUCAUAUUCUAGUUGUAGCAAGAGCGUUACGAUUUCAAUAUCAUGUACCUCUAAUUUUAUGGGGAGAAUGUGUGUUGACAACUGUCUACCUCAUCAAUAGGUUUCCAUCACCAUUAGUAUCUUCUAAAUCUCCUUUUGAGUUAUUAUAUAAUCGUCCACCAUCACUUGAUCACUUGAAAGUUGUUAAUCCUGCUCAUAAAUUUGAUUCUCGUGCCAAACAUUGAAUUUUUAUUGGGUAUCCUACUGGUCAAAAGGGUUACAAACUUUAUGAUUUGAAUACUAAAAAUAUUUUUGUAAGCCGAGAUGUCAAAUAUUUAGAAACCACUUUUCCAUUCUCAACUUCACCAAAUCCACAUUCUAUGUUGCAUGAAUUUUCUCUUGAUUACAUGGACAAUUGGCAGUAUACACCAUCUUCCACUAAUAUUUCACCUCAAUCAUCCCAGUACCAUGAUGUACAUGAGCCCACAUCUUAUGAAUCAUUGUCUCCAGCAUAACCCAUUGAAGCAUCAGAAAUAUCACAAGCCCAACCCAUAAAUUCUGAAACUUCACCUUCAAUUGAACCUACUACACUUCGUUGUUUCCUUACCGUUGCUGCUGCACGUAAUUGGUUUGCCUACCAGUUAGACGUCCAAAUGUAUUCCUUCACAGAGACUUGAAUGAAGAAGUGUAUAUGGAACCUCCACUUGGUCUUCGCCGAUAGGGGAGAAAGUUGUAUGUCGGCUACACAAAUCCCUCUAUUGUCCCAAACAAGCAUCAAGAAAUUGGUUUCUAGCCUUUUUAGAAACCAUUCAAAAGGAAAUGAUCUUAAAGAAAUCGAGCAUCUCAAAAGGUUCCUUCUUAUACGCUUCCGCAUCAAAGAUCUUGGAAAUUUGAAAUAUCUUUUGGGCAUUGAGUUUUCCAGAUAACAUAGGUAUUUUCAUGUCUCAAAGGAAAUAUGCAUUAGACAUUUUACAAGAUUCAGGACUUCUAGGGGCGCGCCCGGACAAGUUUCCAAUGGAACAAAAUCUGAAACUUACCCCAACACAUGGAGAAUUAUUGAGCGAUCCAACCAAGUAUAGAAGGUUAGUCGGUAGACUAAUUUAUCUUAUAGUUACAAGACCUGACAUAGUCUACUAUGUUCGCACACUAAGUCAAUACAUGCACGAGCCUCGAAAACCUCAUUCGGAUGUUGCUGUACGGGUGCUCAAAUAUAUUAAGAGUACUCAAAUCAAGGGUUAUUAUUCUCUUCCUCCAAUAAUCUUACUUUAAAGGCCUUCUGUGAUUCGGAUUGGGGAGGUUGCAAUGCCACAUGGAAGUCCAAGAAACAAUCGAACAUUUCAAGAUCGUCCGCAGAAGAUGAACAUUGAGUUAUGGCUAACACUUGCUUGGAGCUCACAUGGUUACGCUACAUUCUACAAGAUCUAAAAGUCCCACAAGAAACUCCUACACAAUUAUUAUGUGACAAUCAAGCCGCUUUGCAUAUUGUAGCGAAUCCUGUGUUCCAUGAACGUACAAAACAUAUUGAAAUAGAUUGCCACAUAGUUCUAGAAAGAUUACAAGUUGGGAUGAUCAGUCCAUCAUAUGUACCUACACGCUUUUAGUUGGCGGAUAUAUUUACAAAGGCACUGGGAAAGGAUAAUUUUAUGACACUAUGCAACAAGUUGGGACUUGCAUGAUAUUCGCUCUCCAACUUGAGGGGAGUGUUAUUAAAUAUUAUAUUGAUAUCUCA